GAUGAAGACGUAGCGAAAUGCGAUAAGUAAUAUGAAUUGCAGAAUUCAGUGAAUCAUCGAAUCUUUGAACGCACAUUGCGCCCGCCAGUAUUCUGGCGGGCAUGCCUGUUCGAGCGUCAUUUCAACCAUCAAGCCCUGCUUGCGUUGGGGUCCUGCGGCUGCCCGCAGGCCCUGAAAACCAGUGGCGGGCUCGCUAGUCACACCGAGCGCAGUAAUACAUCUCGCUUUGGGCGUGCGGCGGGUUCUUGCCGUUAAACACCCCCUUUUUACCAAGGUUGACCUCGGAUCAGGUAGGAAUACCCGCUGAACUUAAGCAUAUCAAUAAGCGGAGGA
rnacentral:misc_RNA from 1 species